AGACACACAACGCUGCUGACAGAGUUUUUGAUUUCGUACUUUUAUUAAAAUCUUUUGUUUUGUGGAAAUAACACUUAUCUGCCUACACUUGUUCUCUUGCUUGUCGCCGAAUUUACCUUGUGACGACUCCCGGUUUGUUUUCCGCCACUUUUAACUCCCAUGUUCCAGUCAGGAACAACACAGAUGUUUGCUGCCAUGGCCAUAGCAUCAACAGUGCCUCUGUUGGGGUUCUUGGAUCAUAAGCAUGAUGUGCAGAAGCCACCACAACACUAUGGACUAUGUGAUGGAAUUUUAAUAUCUAGAUGUUUCAAAGUUCUAGGACGAGUUUUACCGUCAGACUGGAAGAAUCUGCCAGAAAGAGGAUCGCACUCCGAUGAAGGAAGAAUACCAGAAAUACAAACAGCUCAAAGCUAAAGUGUGUCUGCUGGAAGUCCCCCUCAGCAAACAGGAAGUCACCAAAACCGUGUGAGAGGAAGUGGAAACUCCCAGAGACUGCCUCCACCCUGAAACUCUGCAUGAGAAAAGAGCUUUCUGUGUUGAGAGGAGAGGAAGAGUUACAGAAAGAAACGUGUUGAGCUCCGGCGAAGCGCCCGGCCGGCCGGCGAGGAGCCAAGAAGACGGAGCAGCAGGAGGAGGAGAAGGUGGAGGAGCUGAUCUUCAGCGUGGAGGCUCACAGCAGCAAAGAGCUGCGACACUUCAAGUUCCUCUCCGUCUGCUUCACGGCUCAGCUGCUCGGCUCGGCCAGCUUCGUCGGUAAACCUGCACAGGCCACAAAUACAGACUAAUAAAAGCUACAUUUGUUCUGAG